rnacentral:misc_RNA from 1 species
GUGGUUGCCCCAGGGGACUCCAGCUCCCGCUGCUCCCCCUAGUCGCAGCAUGAACUCCAUCACAAGGUGUCUUCGAAUAUCGUAGACAGCAGAAGUUCGCGCACAAGCUCGCUCCUCUGUGCUCUCUCCUUCUGGUCUUGGUCUGACAGGACUGGGACCACACUUUCUACCACCUUCUCGGAACCCUUGCUAAGAUGGCUUCCUUCACCAACAGACACAGUUUGUGUGUCUUUUAACGAAUCAACCACAGGCAAGUUGUAAAUGAAU